UACGUAGGGGGCGAGCGUUGUCCGGAUUUAUUGGGCGUAAAGAGCUCGUAGGCGGUUUGGCAAGUCGGGUGUGAAAACUCCGGGCUCAACUCGGAGACGCCACUCGAUACUGCCAUGACUCGAGUCCGGUAGGGGAGUGCGGAAUUCCUGGUGUAGCGGUGAAAUGCGCAGAUAUCAGGAGGAACACCGGUGGCGAAGGCGGCACUCUGGGCCGGUACUGACGCUGAGGCACGAAGGUCAGGGGAGCAAACGGG
rnacentral:rRNA from 1 species